CAACCGCUGGGUUAUUUUCUGGGUCGUUUUCACUGAGAGCUGAAUCAAUGCACCCCCUCCCCCACUCGGACGCAAUAACCCAGCUCAUUGGGUCAAAUCAACUCCGCGCAGGAUCAGCGCAGCGCGGGCUGACUGAAUUCGAGGUGGAGGUGGAUGCCACACACACGCUGUAAUAUUUGGAGAAAUAAGACCCGCUCUUGACUGUCCGUGGUGGCAAAUCCACAGCCUUUCGCUGGAGUAGAAUCAACCGUAUCUGAAGAGAGAGCUGAGGAAAUUAAACAAUGGCUGAGAAACAACACACAGCCCAUCAGCCAGGUGGAACAGUACAUCUGGAAAAUAUGUUUGAGGUCCUCCAUGAGUUUCCUCGGCUAACUACCUCAGGCAUGAUUGCACAGGACUUUCACAUUUUACAUCAAGAUGAAGCCCCAAAACUGUUUGAAAAAUGGCUGGUAUACUGACAGGAUCUUGCUUUUUGCGAAGCGAGAAGCAAAGCUUUCAUGUACAGCUGAAGAAAUG